rnacentral:rRNA from 1 species
UACGGGGGGGGGCAAGCGUUGUUCGGAAUUACUGGGCGUAAAGGGCGUGUAGGCGGCCAACUAAGUCCGACGUGAAAUCCCCAGGCUUAACCUGGGAACUGCGUCGGAUACUGGAUGGCUUGGAUUCGGGAGAGGAAUGCGGAAUUCCAGGUGUAGCGGUGAAAUGCGUAGAUAUCUGGAGGAACACCGGUGGCGAAGGCGGCAUUCUGGACCGACAUUGACGCUGAGGAGCGAAAGCCAGGGGAGCAAACGGG